GGUGCGGUAGUUUAAUUGUAAAAUACCAGCCUUUCAAGCUGAAGAUGGAGGCCUAUGCCUCCCCGUAUCU
rnacentral:tRNA from 1 species